CUGCUCAGAUUGAACGCUGGCGGCAGGCUUAACACAUGCAAGUCGAGCGGGGGAAGGUAGCUUGCUACUGGACCUAGCGGCGGACGGGUGAGUAAUGCUUAGGAAUCUGCCUCUUAGUGGGGGACAACAUCUCGAAAGGGAUGCUAAUACCGCAUACGUCCUACGGGAGAAAGCAGGGGAUCUUCGGACCUUGCGCUAAUAGAUGAGCCUAAGUCGGAUUAGCUAGUUGGUGGGGUAAAGGCCUACCAAGGCGACGAUCUGUAGCGGGUCUGAGAGGAUGAUCCGCCACACUGGGACUGAGACACGGCCCAGACUCCUACGGGAGGCAGCAGUGGGGAAUAUUGGACAAUGGGGGGAACCCUGAUCCAGCCAUGCCGCGUGUGUGAAGAAGGCCUUAUGGUUGUAAAGCACUUUAAGCGAGGAGGAGGCUACUCUAGUUAAUACCUAGGGAUAGUGGACGUUACUCGCAGAAUAAGCACCGGCUAACUCUGUGCCAGCAGCCGCGGUAAUACAGAGGGUGCGAGCGUUAAUCGGAUUUACUGGGCGUAAAGCGUGCGUAGGCGGCUUAUUAAGUCGGAUGUGAAAUCCCCGAGCUUAACUUGGGAAUUGCAUUCGAUACUGGUGAGCUAGAGUAUGGGAGAGGAUGGUAGAAUUCCAGGUGUAGCGGUGAAAUGCGUAGAGAUCUGGAGGAAUACCGAUGGCGAAGGCAGCCAUCUGGCCUAAUACUGACGCUG
rnacentral:rRNA from 1 species